ACCCUCCCCCGGCUCCAUCUUGCUGGCGACCAGCGUUGGGCUGUGACGCUGCUUCCCGGGGUCAGAAUGUCAUACCCAAGCUAUCCCCCAACAGGCUACCCACCUUUCCCUGGAUAUCCUCCUGCAGGUCAGGAGUCAUCUUUUCCCCCUCCUGUCAGUAUGCUUAUCCUAGUGGCUUUCCUCCAGUGGGAGGAGGUGCCUACGCACAAGCCCCAAGUAGCAGCUACCCAGGAGCUGGAGGCUACCCUGCCCCUGGAGGUUAUCCAGCCCCUGGAGGCUAUCCUGGUGCCCCAUCACCAGGGGGAGCUCCAGCCUAUCCAGGAGUUCUUCCAGGUCAAGGGUUUGGAGCCCCACCGGGUGGAGCAGGCUUUUCUGGCUAUCCACAGCCACCCUCACAGUCUUACGGUGGUGGCCCAGCACAGGUUCCACUGCCUGGUGGUUUUCCUGGAGGACAGAUACCUUCUCAGUAUCCUGAAGGACAAGCUCCUUUCCCAAGUCAGCCUGCUGCGAUGACUCAGGGAGCUCAAGGAACAGUCCGGCCAGCUGCGAACUUCGAUGCCAUGAGAGACGCAGAAAUUCUUCAGAAAGCAAUAAAGGGUUUUGGCACAGACGAGCAGGCAAUUGUGGACGUUGUGGCCAACCGUUCCAGUGAUCAGAGGCAAAAAAUUAACGCAGCUUUUAAGACCAUGUAUGGCAAGGAUUUAAUCAAAGACCUUAAAUCAGAGUUAAGUGGAAAUACGGAAGAACUGAUCCUUGCCCUGUUCAUGCCAUCUACAUAUUACGAUGCCUGGAGUUUACGGAAUGCAAUGAAGGGAGCAGGAACUCAGGAACGUGUAUUGAUUGAAAUUUUGUGCACAAGAACAAAUCAGGAAAUCCGAGAAAUUGUCAGAUGUUAUCAAUCAGAAUUUGGACGAGACCUUGAAAAGGACAUUAGGUCAGAUACAUCAGGGCAUUUUGAACGUUUACUUGUAUCCAUGUGCCAGGGAAAUCGUGAUGAGAACCAGAAUGUUAACCACCAGUUGGCUCAGGAAGAUGCUCAACGUCUCUAUCAAGCCGGUGAGGGGAGACUAGGGACAGAUGAAUCUUGCUUUAACAUGAUUCUUGCCACAAGAAGCUUUCCUCAACUGAAAGCUACCGUGGAGUCUUAUUCCAGGGUGGCCAAUUGAGACUUGCUAAGUAGUGUUGCCCGUGAAUUUUCUGGAAAUGUUGAAAGUGGUUUAAAGACCAUCUUGCAGUGUGCCCUGAACUGCCCUGCCUUCUUUGCUGAGAGGCUCUACUAUUCUAUGAAAAGUGCCGGCACAGAUGACUCCACCCUGGUCAGGAUUGUGGUCACUCGAAGUGAGAUUGAUCUUGUACAAAUAAAACAGACGUUCAGUCAGAUGUAUCAGAAGACCCUGGGCACAAUGAUCUCAAGUGACACAAGUGGAGAUUACCGAAAGCUUCUUCUGGCCAUCGUGGGCCAGUAGGAGGGAUUUUUUAAAUAAAUGAAGCAUAUCCUUCAGUAAUUGACCUGCAUGCAGUAAUAUCAACCACCACCUAAGCAAAAGAGCUUUUUACCAAGGACUGUGUCAGGGUAUUGUGCUUGGUUUGUACAUGUGGUUAUUGCCUUAAUUCCAAUGUUACUUUUUCUCUAUAUACAAUCAGUGUGAAGCCAUCUCAAAAUGAUGUACUAACAAUGCAAUGUUUGUAAGGCAUAAAUCUCACUGCUUUUCUAAUCAGGAUCCCAAAUUGAAUAAAAAUCA